AAGAGGGAAAAGAGAAGA
rnacentral:sRNA from 1 species